rnacentral:rRNA from 1 species
CCUACGGGAGGCAGCAGUGGGGAAUCUUGCGCAAUGGGCGAAAGCCUGACGCAGCAACGCCGCGUGCGGGAAGAAGGCUCUCGGGUUGUAAACCGCUUUCAGCAGGAACGAAAAUGACGGUACUUGCAGAAGAAGGUGCGGCCAACUACGUGCCAGCAGCCGCGGUGACACGUAGGCACCAAGCGUUGUCCGGAUUUAUUGGGCGUAAAGAGCUCGUAGGCGGUUCGGUAAGUCAGGUGUGAAAACUUUGGGCUCAACCCAAAGCCUGCAUCUGAUACUGCUGUGACUAGAGUUCGGUAGGGGAGCGGGGAAUUCCUAGUGUAGCGGUGAAAUGCGCAGAUAUUAGGAGGAACACCGGUGGCGAAGGCGCCGCUCUGGGCCGAAACUGACGCUGAGGAGCGAAAGCGUGGGUAGCAAACAGGAUUAGAUACCCUGGUAGUCCACGCCGUAAACGUUGGGCACUAGGUGUGGGUUUCAACCAACGAAAUCCGCGCCGUCGCUAACGCAUUAAGUGCCCCGCCUGGGGAGUACGGCCGCAAGGUUAAAACCNCGAAAGAUUGACGG